CGGUUGAUCCUGCCGGAGGUCACUGCUAUCGGUGUUNGUCUAAGCCAUGCGAGUCAUAUGUAGCAAUACAUGGCGUACUGCUCAGUAACACGUGGAUAACCUGCCCUUGGGCCCGGCAUAACCCCGGGAAACUGGGGAUAAUUCCGGAUAACGCACAUAUGCUGGAAUGCUUUAUGCGUCAAAUGGAUUCGUCCNNNAAGGAUGGGUCUGCGGCCUAUCAGGUAGUAGUGGGUGUAAUGUACCUACUAGCCAACAACGGGUACGGGUUGUGAGAGCAAGAGCCCGGAGAUGGAUUCUGAGACAUGAAUCCAGGCCCUACGGGGCGCAGCAGGCGCGAAAACUUUACAAUGCGGGAAACCGUGAUAAGGGGACACCGAGUGCUAGCAUCAUAUGCUGGCUGUUCAGGUGUGUAAACUACACCUGUUAGCAAGGGCCGGGCAAGACCGGUGCCAGCCGCCGCGGUAACACCGGCGGCCCGAGUGGUGAUCGUGAUUAUUGGGUCUAAAGGGUCCGUAGCCGGUUUGGUCAGUCCUCCGGGAAAUCUGAUAGCUCAACUAUUAGGCUUUCGGGGGAUACUGCCAGGCUUGGAACCGGGAGAGGUAAGAGGUACUACAGGGGUAGGAGUGAAAUCUUGUAAUCCCUGUGGGACCACCUGUGGCGAAGGCGUCUUACCAGAACGGGUUCGACGGUGAGGGACGAAAGCUGGGGGCACGAACCGGAUUAGAUACCCGGGUAGUCCCAGCCGUAAACGAUGCUCGCUAGGUGUCAGGCAUGGCGCGACCGUGUCUGGUGCCGCAGGGAAGCCGUGAAGCGAGCCACCUGGGAAGUACGGCCGCAAGGCUGAAACUUAAAGGAAUUGGCGG
rnacentral:rRNA from 1 species